rnacentral:rRNA from 1 species
CAGUUUGACUGGGGCGGUCUCCUCCUAAAGAGUAACGGAGGAGUACGAAGGUGCGCUCAGACCGGUCGGAAAUCGGUCGCAGAGUAUAAAGGCAAAAGCGCGCUUGACUGCGAGACAGACACGUCGAGCAGGUACGAAAGUAGGUCAUAGUGAUCCGGUGGUUCUGAAUGGAAGGGCCAUCGCUCAACGGAUAAAAGCUACCCUGGG